CGCGCAGGCGGAAAAGUAAGUGUUUUGUGAAAUCCCCCGGCUUAACCGGGGAAUUGCUUAGCAAACUACUUUUCUUGAGGCAAGUAGAGGUACACGGAACUCUUGGUGGAGCGGUGGAAUGCGUAGAUAUCAAGAGGAACGCCAGUGGAGAAAUCGGUGUACUGGGCUUGUCCUGACGCUGAGGCGCGAAAGCGUGGGGAGCGAACAGGAUUAGAUACCCUGGUAGUCC
rnacentral:rRNA from 1 species